UACGUAGGGGCCAAGCGUUGUCCGGAUUUAUUGGGCGUAAAGAGCUCGUAGGCGGUUCGGCAAGUCGAAUGUGAAAUCUCCACGCUCAACGUGGAGGGGUCAUUCGAUACUGCCGUGACUCGAGUCCGGUAGGGGAGUGUGGAAUUCCCGGUGUAGCGGUGAAAUGCGCAGAGAUCGGGAGGAACACCAGUGGCGAAGGCGAGUCUCUGGACGACUCCUGACACUGAGGCACGAAAGCUAGGGGAGCAAACAGG
rnacentral:rRNA from 1 species